AUUGAACGCUGGCGGCAGGCCUAACACAUGCAAGUCGAGCGAGUGGCGAACGGGUGAGUAAAGCGUAAUCACCCUGCCCUUUACUCGGGGAUAGCCUUUCGAAAGAAAGAUUAAUACCCGAUGUAAAGGAUGGGGAUGCGUUCCAUUAGGUUGUUGGUGAGGUAACGUCUCACAAAGCCUUCGAUGGAUCUGGGUUCUGAGAGGAAUGUCCCCCACAUUGGAACUGCGACACGGUCCAAACUGCUACGUGAUGCAGCAGUGAGGAAUAUUUGUCAAUGGGCGUGAGCCUGAACCAGCCAAGUAGCGUGAAGAAUGAAGGCUUAUGGGUCGUAAACUUCUUUUAUAUAAGAAUAUGUAUUAUAUGAAUAAGGAUCGGCUAACUCCGUGCCAGCAGCCGCGGUAAUUC
rnacentral:rRNA from 1 species